CUUCUAAUAGCGUGCCUUUGUGAAGUAGUAAAUUUUAUUUUAGUAGACGUUUGGUGCUUACAGGUAAUAUGGAUAACAACACCAUGGCAACUUGAUGAUCUUUCUGGAAUUGCAAACAUGGAUAAUUUUCAAACGGAAAUAGUGACCGGAAAAAAUUCUUACCUCCAAAGACUAUGCGAAUUCAGUAGUAGUUGUGUUCAAGAAUGUUCCUAUUUAAUUGUAGACAGUGACGAUGAUAACAGUAGCCCUUCGGAGUGUAAGACUAAAGUUUUGAACUAUGAAUCUACUAUUGAUUCUCCUCCCCCUAUAACAAAAAUUAAUAAUUAUGGCCUAACUCCUGUUCCUAAAAGUAAUAAUGAAAGUGUUAUUACUGUUAUGAGCUCGCCACUUUCAAAAGAAAGCCAAAGAAAAAAGAGUACACAAGCUACACUCACCGCUUUUUACAAAGAAAAAAAGAAAACUUUUAAAGAUGAAAAGAGUGACGAUUUAAAGUUUAAAAAAAAACCUGGCAAAAAAGCGAGUACCUCCGAGGGACUUGCCUCUUUGAGCUGCUUUAUAACAACCUGUGCAAUAAAAAAGGAAGCUUUGAGUGAACUCAUAAAUAACCUAAGCGAAUUGGGCUGUUUUGCGGUAGUUACAGAUGGAAAGGAAAUCAGCAUUGUGGACUAUUAUAUUACCUGGGAAAAGACCUUGACGGAUCAUAAAGAGGAAAAUUCUAAGAAUUGCGAAGUUGUUGCUGCGGAAACUCCUUCUAUCGGUAAAGUUAAUCCCAAGAUUUAUUUGGAUCAAGUACUUUACGUUAUGAAGGGCAUUAAAUUCGUUUCUUUAGUCGAACGGUCCGCUUUUCACGCUUUUUUGAAUAGAAUUUACGAAGAAAAUGCAGGAAAAAGCAUUUCUAUAAUAUUUGAAGGUGCGGAUUCAGUUUUUACCAAAACCAGAAAACCAGAUGCUGUGGCCCGUACGGAUAUGUUCUCUUCUGUGGAUCCAGCGGAGAUCAUCAAAAGUACUCUGCUGGAUUUGCAGUUUUGCAACGUGCAGUACUGGAUAACAAAAGAUCCGCACGAAACCAAUUGCUUUAUUGAAGCUUACUGCAGUGUACUGGCACGUGACUCAUCAAAGGAUAACAAUAGGGAUUUGUACAAUUUUAGUCGAGGAAUUAGUAAAGCAACGACUUCCCAAGAAAUAUUUCAUAAGCAGCUCUGUACGCUCACCAGCAUUAGCGAGAGCGUUGCUCGUGCGAUUGUAGAUCGAUUUCAGAGUUACAAACGACUAUAUCAGGAGUGUAAAAUGCUGCCCGAUGAGGCGCAAAGAAUCUCUUUGAUUGCCAACACUAGGGUUAAACGGGCCGAAAAGGGGACAGAUAGACCAGUGGGAAGAUCUGUGGCUGGCAAAAUCCACGCUCUUCUUUUUAAUUAUGACGGGAUGUUGAAGUAGCAGCAGCAGUCAUAAAAAAUACUACACAAUGAAAACUUCCACCAAAUUAACGUCACCGCCACAGUAAAUAUCAUUAAAUUAAGGGCACCGACGUAUAGCAUAUUUCGGUUGGCGCCUAGAAAAGAUGAGUUUUUAGUUUCUUAUGGCAAGUGAACUCCGCUAUUAAAAAAGUAAUCACACCUUAUACUUGUAAAGGU